ensembl:processed_transcript
GGUCUUUUGGAAUGGGGACAGCAUAUGUGUAAAAUGUAGCUGCUAGAGUUUCCUGGUAUCGUGGUGGAUCUGUAAGGAUUCGCCACCAGAGGAAUCAGAUUUUAAUAAGGCCUACAAGAUUAGGUUUUAGUUGUUGUGCCCAGAGAUUGAGUUACCAUUAUUUCUGAACUAAGUUUGUGUUGGCUUUUCCUUCACACAGUGGGGGCGGUUCAUCUGGGUUCAAGAGAGAAAGGGUUCAGACUACAAAUCACUUCUGUGUGACUGAGGGAAGAAGAGUCAGAAUAAAGAGAAACAUACUCUCUUCCAAAGAUUAACGACAGAAGGAGCUCUAGAAUUUCACAAAGGUACUGUCAGGACACAUGAAAAUCUGGAGAAAAAGACAGGCUUGAAGAGACCAAAAAGAAGAAAGCCUGCCAAUCACAUCUCCAGAGAUUCUGAGACACACACACCCCCACCCCUGGUGUAGGGGGAACAUCAUCUGAAAGGUGACACCUACUCUAAGGAACAGAAGUACCAGCUAAGGAGGACACACACUUGAAGAAAAAGUAGACAAUGAGGUCUUGUGAAUGCUCUAAUUUUUCAAAGGUUACUUUUAAUGAUGGUUCUUAAACACUUUAACCUCCCUUCUAGCCCACUACCUACCAGAGGUAGUGGAAAAGAAAGGUGAUUAGGAUACAGG